UUUACAUCUACGUGUAACACGCCUGAAAUUUAUAUUCAGAUGCAUAUAGUGAAGACCUUAUAAUAACAUCACGCUAAAAUUUUAUAAAGUUGGCACAAGAAGAAACAACAUUUCCGGUUUGUGUAAUUGUACUCUCUUAACGCGAACGAGUAACGAGAACUGGAAAACAUCCAACGAAAUGUAUGUACAUUACAGCUAAUUUCUCUAGUUUAAAAAAAAAAGAAUUAUCAACAUAUAAUAUAUACCGUAUACAUACAUAUAUAUAUAUAUAUAUAAAUGUUUAUAGACAUGAGGUUUCGGAUAUCGCCUAAGUGAACGUAUUAGUGGAAAGUAAAUUGAAAUCAACGGACAACCUAACCUUGCACACGGUGCGUAAAUAACGAUCUUAGCAUUUUUUCCAUUCAACGUACUUUAGAUACAACGAUUAUCUUAAUUUACUAUCUAUGGAUUUAGAACUAAACAAUGAUAGUUAUCGAUAUUAAAUUCGCUAUAAAUAUCUACGGAACAAUGACAUAAGAAUCUGUUACACGAUCGUAAAACGAGCUAUCGAUUUGAUCGUGCAUUCGUGUUCCCCUCAGUCAUACCAACAAUUCAUUAACUUAUUGGCACCUGAGAUGUCAGGCCUGAAUUUUCCAACAGGAAAAAGCAGACAUUUUGUGGAACCGUUUAACAUUCAAUAUCGGUUGUUCCUUUCUUUCCUGUCUAUUGCUUGUCAAAAGUAUGAAAUAAUCUGGCGAUACUCGUGUCUUCGAUAAAUUCGUAAAACAAUUUUCAUUUCACAAAUUUCGUUACAAACAUGUAGU